rnacentral:lncRNA from 1 species
AACUCCAUUAGACAAAGUUGAUCUUCGUCUGCAUGAUUUGGCUAUUUAUUAGGUUCUAUUUGGUCUGAUAGCUCUUCAACUGUUUCUGUUCUUUGUGCAUGCUUCGUUCCAAAAAUCGAGAAUUAUAGCUCUUUGAUUGUAUGACUAGUUGUUGUAUGUUUUUUUUCAGCUGUACAGAGCUUUUUGUUGUCAAUGGUUAUUUUUGUCGGAACUCUUUCACGAAAUUUCAUUGUUGUAAUAAUUAUUGACACAAUGUAGGAGAAGGAUGUAAGGUUAACUAAGUCUGCAAUAGUGGACGAAAAUAC